UCCCUCAAGAACAUCCAAGAUAAGACCGAAAGAGUAACUUUCAUUGACCAAACCCAACAGGAAACCAGAGGACAAGGAGCCUGGGGGAGGUGGUGUGUGGGGCUCUGCCUAACGUGGAGGACGCUGAGAGGAACCUGCAGGAUCCACCACUUCCCCAUCCACUCAACAUCUAUUGUGUCCCUCAUUCAGAUGAAGAGACUCUCAUCCCCAACGUUACUGAGACACGAAGUCCCAUAAACUGCCAUGUCAUGGAUGUGAAAAUGGAACAUUUCAUUUCCUGGUACAGGACCGUGUGCUGUGACCACUGGCAGAGGAAAACCAUCUCCUUCAAGAUGGGUCAGAUCAGUGAGCGCAAAAGAGAAGAUCCUUCUAAACAUUGUUCCAAACGGAGUUCCCGCCUCCUCAUCCUUUCAGAGCCAGUUGAAGACCAACUCCAGGAAGCCUGGCCUGACGACUCCAGCCAGGUUGGGCUAGGACUAGGUGCCUUAUCCUCCUGGGUGUCCCAACAGCCCAUGUGCAGAUCUCUACCGCUGCACGUGUCACAAAUUUGGAAAUCCAUACUUAUGUCCCUCUGUCUCCCUGUGGCCUAUAUGCUCUGAGAGUAAAUGUUCGUGUUUGUGUUUCCUGAGACGCUUUAGAAGAGUACCAGAAACAUAGCAAAGGUCUGAUGCAUCCCUGUUGAGACAAUGAAUAAAUGAUAUUCUAUAAUAAAUUUUACAGCCUGG